rnacentral:rRNA from 1 species
AUUGAACGCUGGCGGCAGGCUUAACACAUGCAAGUCGAGCGGAGCGAGGGUGCUUGCACCUUAGCUUAGCGGCGGACGGGUGAGUAAUGCUUAGGAAUCUGCCUAUUAGUGGGGGACAACAUUCCGAAAGGGAUGCUAAUACCGCAUACGCCCUACGGGGGAAAGCAGGGGAUCACUUGUGACCUUGCGCUAAUAGAUGAGCCUAAGUCGGAUUAGCUAGUUGGUGGGGUAAAGGCCUACCAAGGCGACGAUCUGUAGCGGGUCUGAGAGGAUGAUCCGCCACACUGGGACUGAGACACGGCCCAGACUCCUACGGGAGGCAGCAGUGGGGAAUAUUGGACAAUGGGGGGAACCCUGAUCCAGCCAUGCCGCGUGUGUGAAGAAGGCCUUUUGGUUGUAAAGCACUUUAAGCGAGGAGGAGGCGCUCUAGGAUAAUACCCUAGAUGCGUGGACGUA